GUGUGUUUGGGGGUGGGGUGGGGAGAUGGGUCUCUGUUAGCAACUAUACAAAUUCAGGGCCAUUACUACUAUUGCAGAUCAAAACAACUCAGAUCCGAGAGACCCCAUAGACAGACACUGUAUAUUCCCAAUGAUGGAGGCCUGCCCAAUGCCUGCGCGGUGGGAGAGGGUCCUGAAGACCCGGGAGGCCAGUUCUCGCGGACUGGUCUUGGGAUCAACGUCUCCUUUGGCGAAGUGAAGAGCACAGGCCUCCAGGCCCAGGCGCCAUCGCCCGGAGGACAGCCGCCCUGGGCCCCGGGGUUCCGCGACUUUUCUCAGAAGCCCCGCAGCGGGGCCAGAGCACCGAGCUAGCCAGCCACGGGGACACCAGUUUCCGCAGCUACCGCCCCUCCAGUGCUGGCUCGGACUUGGGCCUCGUGCUGGAGCGGAAACUCUUAACCUCACCCUGGCUCUCUGAUGGAGGAAAGACAGCAGGAACCAAAGAGUUGGCAGCGAGAGCCGAGCCACUGCCUCUCCCUGCUCGGUCGGCCUGUGCUCUGCAGCCCCAGCUGUGCGAGGCGCGGGGGCCAGGGCGCGGGGACUCGCCGCCCUCCCCACAGACCCAGCCGGGCGCUCUCGGCUCCUCCAGGGUCCCGACCCGCAACCUCGCCGCUCCCCGUAAGGGCCGGGCGAGGAAGGCUCUCCUGGGCCGGAGGCCAGGGCGGGACAGCACCGCGGGACCCCGGAGCCCCCAGUAAGGCGGAGACUUGGACCCUGCUUCUGAAAACGCUAGUCUCCUCCAGGAUUUGUCAAGUCCAAAGCAGCUUCGGGAAGGCUUCGCGGGCUGUCGGGGGGAAACCCACUAUGUGGCUCACCCCUGCUGGUCACUCUCAAGUCUUCGCCUUGCAGCUUCUCCCACUCCUGAGCCCCCGCCCUCUCCGGGUCCCGGGCCGCGCGGGCAGAGCCCGCCAAAGGAGGAGCGCGGUUUUAGGCAGAGCGAAGGAGCCCCCUGCUGGCCAGACGCCGCAGGAGCGGCUCCCGCUCCCACUUCCCUCUCCCCGGGGGCGCGGCCCCGCUGGCGGCCACUACUACUCUCCUGGGACCCUCUAUGCUGGGGGGUUGUUUAAAGAAACCGAAAACAUAACAACAACAACAACAACAACAACAACAAAAAAGAAAACAAAUCAUGCGCCCAAACCCACUCUCAUCUCAUCUAUUGGUCAAAGGGCUAUUGCUGGGGCUUGGUGCUGGCACUAUGAAUCACUACUUCUGGCGGCCAUUUUUUCCAUUUUUAUUGGAUAGGACAGAAAGAAAGCACUGUAAGACAUAUGCUCAACUAAAUUCAUCAUGCCUUUUCUGAAAAUCCAGAAGUUCACCUGUGAGAAUGUCUGCUCUUCACAAUAGGAACAGUUCCUGGUACACCACAUGGAAGUGUUGUGGCAGGCACUGGAGGAGACUGGUUCAAGCUCUGUCAUGAAAAUGAUCUACUAUCACUAAAACCAGCUUGAAAAAGAAAUAGAUUUUCCAUGUGCUUCAGAAAGGGUGGGAAUCCAACAUCCUUUCUUGAUCAAAACAUUGCAAAAAUGGGAAUGGGUGGAAAAUUCCUUAACCCAGUGGAGUUUGUAUACAGCAAAUCUAUAGCCAACAUCAUAAUCAGUGGUGAAAAACCAACACAACAUCACAACAGCAGCAACAACAAAAAAUGGCACCACCAUAUAAUGGGGAGAAGAUAUGAAUAGAAUAUUCAUCAAAGAAGAGCUCUAAAAAUCCAACAGACAUAUGAAAAAGUGGUCCAACUCAUUGAUUGUUGAAAUGCAAAUAAAGACAAUAAUGAGAAACCACUUCAACCCUGUGAUUAUGUCAUAUAUCAGAAAGUAUAAUAACAAAUGCUGGAGAGGUUGUGGGGACAAAGGAAUCAUUUUUUGCUGCUGAUAGGAAUGCAAAUUGAUCCAAACCCUGUAGAAAGCGGUCUAAAGAACUCUCGAAAGGCUAGAAACAUACCUACCCAAUGACCUGGCAAUCUCUCUCCUCUUUUGAAAUGUCAAAAAAAACCAAAACAAAACAAAUGACAUUUUUGAUAACUGUAAUCACUGUACAAUGUUAACAACAACAGAUUCAUAACAACCUUAUUCCUAAACCUUCAAUAUAUGCUCUAAUAUUACUAUAACUGGCUUUUCUUCCUGAACUUUUUCUUUUUUUAUAUAUUUUUUAUUAUUAUUAUUUUAUUUAAGAAAGGAUUAAUUAACAAAACCGUAGGGUAGGAGGGGUACAACUCCACACAAUUCCCACCACCCAAUCUCCAUAUCCCACCCCCUCCCCUGAUAGCUUUCCCAUUUUUCCAUCCCUCUGGGAGCAUGGACCCAGGGUCUUUGUGGGUUGCAGAAGGUAGAAGGUCUGGCUUCUGUAAUUGCUUCCCCGCUGAACAUGGGCGUUGACUGGUCGGUCCAUACUCCCAGUGUGCCUCUCUCUUUCCCUAGUAGGGUGUGUCUCUGGGAAAGCUGAGCUCCAGGACACAUUGGUGGGGUCUUCAAACCAGGGAAGCCUGGCCAGCAUCCUGGUGGCAUCUGGAACCUGGUGACUGAAAAGAGAGUUAACAUACGAAGCCAAACAAAUUGUUGAGCAAUCAUGGACCCAAAACUUGGAAUAGUGGAGAGGAAGUGUUAGGGAGGUACUCACUGCAAACUCUAGUGUACU